GAACGGAUCCUUCGGGAUUAGUGGCAGACGGGUGAGUAACGCGUGGGAAGCUACCUUGUGGUAGGGAACAACAGUUGGAAACGACUGCUAAUACCCUAUGAGCCCUAUGGGGGAAAGAUUUAUCGCCAUGAGAUGUGCCCGCGUUAGAUUAGCUAGUUGGUAAGGUAAUGGCUUACCAAGGCGACGAUCUAUAGCUGGUCUGAGAGGAUGAUCAGCCACACUGGGACUGAGACACGGCCCAGACUCCUACGGGAGGCAGCAGUGGGGAAUAUUGGACAAUGGGGGCAACCCUGAUCCAGCCAUGCCGCGUGAGUGAUGACGGCCUUAGGGUUGUAAAGCUCUUUCAGCAGUGAAGAUAAUGACAUUAACUGCAGAAGAAGCCCCGGCUAACUUCGUGCCAGCAGCCGCGGUAAUACGAAGGGGGCUAGCGUUGUUCGGAAUCACUGGGCGUAAAGCGUACGUAGGCGGACUGAUCAGUCAGGGGUGAAAUCCCGGGGCUCAACCCCGGAACUGCCUUUGAUACUGUCAGUCUUGAGAUCGAGAGAGGUGAGUGGAACUCCGAGUGUAGAGGUGAAAUUCGUAGAUAUUCGGAAGAACACCAGUGGCGAAGGCGGCUCACUGGCUCGAUACUGACGCUGAGGUACGAAAGCNUGGGGAGCAAACAGGAUUAGAUACCCUGGUAGUCCANGCCGUAAACGAUGAAUGCUAGUUGUCAGGUA
rnacentral:rRNA from 1 species